CCUUUGGCUGUUUCGAAGACCACAAUACGUAUUUCAAAGUUGCGCGGUUCAAAUACAAAAAAGCCAAUAGCAUUUUUUGUCACGACGGUCACUGAUUCGGCAUCCCACAGACGUUUCAGUAACUUUUACGUGCAAUGACACUU